UCAACCGCCGAACAGGCGAACUUGCAUCAACAAAGUUCGCCUGCUUGGCGGUUUGA
ensembl:miRNA gmo-mir-11230 gmo-mir-11230